UGCCAGCCGCCGCGGUAAUACGGAGGGGGCGAACGUUAUUCGGAAUUAUUGGGCGUAAAGGGCGCGUAGGCGGCCAAAUCAGUCAGGCGUGAAAGCCCCGGGCUCAACCUGGGAGGUGCGUUUGAUACUGUUUGGCUCGAGACCGGAAGAGGAUGGCGGAAUACCCAGUGUAGAGGUGAAAUUCGUAGAUAUUGGGUGGAACACCAGUGGCGAAGGCGGCCAUCUGGUCCGGAUCUGACGCUGAGGCGCGAAAGCGUGGGGAGCAAACAGGAUUAGAUA
rnacentral:rRNA from 1 species